AGCGAACGCUGGCGGCAGGCCUAACACAUGCAAGUCGAACGAACCUUUCGGGGUUAGUGGCGGACGGGGGAGUAACACGUGGGAACGUGCCUUUAGGUUCGGAAUACCUCAGGGAAACUUGUGCUAAUACCGAAUGUGCCCUUCGGGGGAAAGAUUUGUCGCCUUUAGAGCGGCCCGCGUCGGAUUAGCUAGUUGGUUGAGGUAAUGGCUCACCAAGGCGACAAUCAGUAGCCGGUCUGAGAGGAUGAUCCGACACAUUGGGACUGGGCCGCGGCCCAAACUCCUACGGGAGGCAGCAGUGGGGAAUCUUGCGAAACGGGCGAAAUGCUGACGCAGCCAUGCCGCGUGAAUGAUGUAGUUCUUAGGAUUGUAAAAUUCUUUCACCGGGGACGAUAAUGACGGUACCCGGAGAAGAAGCCCCGGCUAACUUCGUG
rnacentral:rRNA from 1 species